GAAUAUUCAGCAGCUUUUCAGGUGUGUCCUUUCAGGGUCUAGGUCUCCCUGAAAGGACACACCUGAAAAGCUGCUGAAUAUUCUA